CACGUAGGAGGCGAGCGUUGUCCGGAAUCAUUGGGCGUAAAGAGCGCGCAGGCGGCUUGGCAAGUCGGGUGUGAAAUCCCGGGGCUCAACCCCGGGACUGCAUUCGAUACUGUCAGGCUAGAGGUAGGUAGGGGAGAUCGGAAUUCCUGGUGUAGCGGUGAAAUGCGCAGAUAUCAGGAGGAACACCGGUGGCGAAGGCGGGACUCUGGGCCGAUACUGACGCUGAGGAGCGAAAGCGUGGGGAGCAAACGGG
rnacentral:rRNA from 1 species